UUAGUACUCCCUCCGUCCAGAAUUACUUGUCAUGAAAAUGGAUAAAAAUGGAUGUAUCUAAAACUAAAAUACAUCUAGAUACAUCCAUUUAUUCGACAAGUAUUUUCAGACGGAGGGAGUACAUU
rnacentral:pre_miRNA from 1 species